rnacentral:lncRNA from 1 species
GUGAGAGGGGACUUGAUUCAGGAUGUUGUACCAGAGCUCCAAAAUCUUGCUGCUGCAAAUUUCCCAAUUAAGUAAAAAAAAAAUGGUUUAUUUGGCAAAGUUUACUAAGUGUGUCAAAUUGAUAAGUGUGUUAUGACUGCGCAAUUAGAAUAACAUCACACUAACAAAUAGAGAUGUGCAUCUGGCACCAGAAGUAGAGAACAGGCUAUUAAAUAUUGCUUUCCUUCUGUAACGUGUUUUCCUAAACUAUUUCAAAACUUUUUUAUCUGUUCCUAGAACAACAGACUCCUUAAAAAGCGAGAUUGGAUUUUACACUAGUCAUGGUACAAAAUCACGUUACACUCACAUUUUUACUGUUGAACUUGUGAAAAAUAUUAAGAUUCUAUGUUGUAGAUGAAAUAAGUACACCCUUAUGUAAGACGUGAUGCCAAUUCUUAAGGCUGGCUGCAGACACAGGUGGUUCUGCUGAUUGGGGAAUUACAAAGAAGCUGUGUGUUAUAGGCGGGGAGAAGAGUAGAGGCGAGAUGUUGGGGAGAAAUUUUAAAUAAAUGGGAGUUUGUUGGAGCUGAGCAAGCUUAGAGGACUGGGGGGGAGGUGAUGGUGAUCUCGGUUUCUGUGGCAGAAGCACGCUUGCUGUUGAGGUUGCAAGGAUAUUGGCAAAGUAACUUUUCUGCAUCAGACUCCUGCAUUCAGGUAAGACUAAUUUCAGGAAAUACAAACAUAAGAUUAUUUUCUAAUGCUGACGUUGGCUGGUAAAAACAUAGUAAUUUUUGCAUUCAU